rnacentral:lncRNA from 1 species
GAAGAGGAGGCCUGGCUAGCAAAGGUAGUCUUGCCUGCCGGGUAGCAGCCCUCAGAGAGAAUAGAAGGUAAAUGAUUCCUUCAGACCUUUGAAGGUGUCAGACUUCCAGUUAAUCUUUCCUAGAUCCAGCCAAGGGAAAGUCUCAGAGAAAGCCUGGCUGCAGCAAUGUAUAGCUUCCAGAUGCAUAUUUUCCUGACAAUAGACAGCUUUCCAGGGCUACUUCUCUUUGCAGGCCCUCUGAAGAGCCAUCACAAAGAGAAUUUGACCUUGUUCCCUGAAGUUUGUGAGCAUAGAGUAUGAAGUCUGUUCCUUGUCUAGACAUGGGAUUGGCUGGAGCUGCACCUUAGAGCAAAGAGGAGAGCCAAGAUUGUAGUGGGAGUAAGCCACAAUUCUACAGUACUCAGGGUUACUGGGACCCAGUAAGACCUGACCUGGAAUGUAAGAGAGGAAGACUUGAAGAAGAAGAAAGAGUGAAGUUUGGAUAUUAAAGAAGGCUGAACCUGUAUAGUAUCUUUUUUUUGUUUUUUGUUUUUUGUUUGUUUGUUUGUUUGUUUGUUGAGAUGGAGCCUUACUCUGUCACCCAGGCUGGAGUGCAGUGGUGCCAUCUCGGCUCAAUGCAACCUCCAUCUCCUGGGUUCAAACAAUCCUCCUGCCUCAGCCUCCCAAGUAGUUGGGACUACGGGUGUGUGCCAUCAUGCCUGACUAAUUUUUGUAUUUUUAGUAGAGAUGAGGUUCAUUAUGUUGACCAGGCUGGUCUUAAACUCCUGACAUCAAGUGAUCUGCCUGCCUCGGCCUCCCAAAGUGCUGGGAUUACAGGUGUGAGCCACUGUACCUGGUCCCAUGUAGUAUCUUGAAAUAAGAUUAUUACAAAAGUGAAAAGCACUGGAAAAGUUACAGAGUUUGCUCAAGAUAUUGUCUGGGGUCAGGAAAAAGAGAUUGGACAGAGCAAGUCUGAAGCACAAGCACGGCAGAAAAAGAAAAUAAAGCCAUUUCCUGACUGCACUUUAUAGGGUCCUGCCUGAUUAAUA